rnacentral:rRNA from 1 species
CCUACGGGAGGCAGCAGUGGGGAAUCUUGCGCAAUGGGCGAAAGCCUGACGCAGCAACGCCGCGUGCGGGAAGAGGCUUUCGGGCUGUAAACCGUUUUCAGCAGGAACGAAAAUGACGGUACCUGCAGAAGAAGGAGCGGCCAACUAUGUGCCAGCAGCCGCGGUGAUACAUAGGCUUCAAGCGUUGUCCGGAUUUAUUGGGCGUAAAGAGUUCGUAGGCGGUCGAGUAAGUCGGGUGUGAAAAUUCUGGGCUCAACCCAGAGACGCCACCCGAUACUGCUUAACUUGAGUUCGAUAGGGGAGUGGGGAAUUCCUAGUGUAGCGGUGAAAUGCGCAGAUAUUAGGAGGAACACCGGUGGCGAAGGCGCCACUCUGGAUCGAUACUGACGCUGAGGAACGAAAGCAUGGGUAGCAAACAGGAUUAGAUACCCUGGUAGUCCAUGCCGUAAACGGUGGGCACUAGGUGUGGGAUUCUAUUAACGAAUUCCGNGCCGUCGCUAACGCAUUAAGUGCCCCGCCUGGGGGAGGUACGGUCGCGAGACGUAAACGUACAANAGAGUAAGUACGGCGUUGAGACGUUGCCGAACGGCGACGACGAGGGAGGAGG